CAGUCGGCUCCCAGAGGCAUAUCGGCAUCCCCUCACAGUCGGCUCCCAGAGGCAUAUCGGCAUCCCCUCACAGUCGGCUCCCAGAGGCAUAUCGGCAUCCCCUCAGUCGGCUCCCAGAGGCAUAUCGGCAUCCCCUCACAGUGAGCUGCAGAGGGCACUAGGGUCCCAGGAGACAUCUGGUCCAGUCAUACCCUGGACAGCGUCUCCAUGGAUACGCAGCACAACAUUCAGCGGCCGUCCAGAGACUCUUCCUCAUCGCUCUAAGCUGGCAGAGCGGUCCUGACAAGCAGGACCGCAACACGGAUAAUUGUUCCACUGCUGGAUCCAAGCAGCGGAAAGCAACACAGGCCAGUGGUUGGAUGUUCUCCAGCCUGGGGAGCUCCAUGUGGCUCAUCCAGAGGCUCCUCCUGAUCCAGGCUUUAGAGCUGAUGGGCUGCGUGGGUCAUCAGCUCUUUCCAUGAUAACACUCAUGCGAAUGGGGCUAUUGUUCUCCUGAUCUGCAUCAUCACCCUUCCAAGUGUAAAGGAAGUUGGCGGAUGGUAAUGAGCGUUAGGAAAAGCACCAAAAAAGGAUUUAACUGCCCCCAGAUAUUCCCAUUAUCGGUUUUGAUCGGCGUUCUCAAAAUGGCCGAUCAGAUGACGUAACAUCUGCGAGAAAAACUAUCAGAGACGUUUCAAUGGCGGCGCAACGGAGACGAUGCGCCCGGCGAGGGCCGCAGAGGUCAGAGGUCAGAGGGGAUCCUCACCAGCGAGCGGCGUCCCCGUCCCCCGAGUUGAAUCUCUGGGUCGACUCAGCCGACUCUCACAUGUCUGCCCCUAGAGAUGCUCACGCUAAACACAUUCCAUCGGGAGCGAGAGGGUUUGAGAGAGUUAGCGGAAAGAACCACGUGAAACAACAUCCGCUUUUCAAAAUAAGAUGUCGACAAAUCAAACACGAACAUAGACAAAUGCCGUGAGGCGGAGCUACGGCUAACGUGCUCCCAAUGCUACCAGCGCUAACCGCCAGCCUGGUUCUGACUCCACGUGGUGAACACCACUCAUGUGGCUCCGCCCCCUCGCCGUGAGCACUGGGCCCACAGCCGGCAGGUGGUGGUUAAACUACACGCUGAGCACCAGGUCUAUAUUAGAGAGGAGGUGCUGGUCCCCAGAGAGGAGGUGCUGGUCAGCAGAGAGGAGGUGCUGGUCCCCAGAGAGGAGGUGCUGGUCAGCAGAGAGGAGGUGCUGGUCCCCAGAGAGGAGAUGCUGGUCCCCAGAGAGGAGGUGCUGGUCCUUUGAGAGGAGAUGCUGGUCCCCAGAGAGGAGGUGCUGGUCCCCAGAGAGGCUUUGCUUUCUGCACUACGGUGGCUGAGCGGGGUCAAACCUGUGGUGCCGGAGGGGGAUUCCACCGGCCUGACCCGACCUGAACACUGGCUUCCUGUUGCUGAAGCUCGCCGACAGGAAGUGGGAAAGAAAGACAGAUCUGUCCUCUUCUCGUCACGCCGCCAACGCCAGUGUGUCUGUGUGUGUGUCUGUGUGUCUGUGUGUGUGUGUGUGUGUGUGUCUGUGUGUGUGUGUGUGUGUCUGUGUGUGUGUGUG